AGAACUUUGAAGAGAGAGUUCAAUAGUACGUGAAACCGUUCAGGGGUAAACCUGAGAAACCCAAAAGAUCGAAUGGAGAGAUUCAUCGUUGGCCGCUUUGGCUUCCGUGUGGUUCGCGAUGACCGGGGCUUCGGCUCCGCGUCACGCAAUCGCUGCGGCAUGUCCGAGGCGGCCGGCGUGCACUUCUCUCCUAGUAGGACGUCGCGAUUCGUUGGGUGUCGGUUUACGGACCGGUAGGUCGACUGGCGAGUUGCGUUCACGCGUAUACUUGCCAGACCUCUGGAUUCCCAACCGGCUGCCCGGCGAUAUAAAACGAUAAUUCAAUGGCAUUGAGCCGCGUCGAACGCGUUCAGGCUCGUCGGCAGAUUCGUCUCGCUCGGAUUUACGGACCUAGCGCCGUUGCCGGGUGCUUGGCGGGUUGUUGGCCGGCGAUGUCCUCGGACUGGCUCUAAAUAUUCUUAUGGAAUAUGCCGAUCGGCGACGCUACUGCUUUGGGUACUUUCAGGACCCGUCUUG
rnacentral:rRNA from 1 species